ensembl:lncRNA
ACAGUCCCUCCUCCCCCUCUUUCACCUCUCUUCCCCUUUUUCCUUCGCUCCAGCCCUCACUAGCCCAUGCUUCAGGAGCUCUGGAGACUCCCAGUCCAGUCAUCCUCCUCACAGAGACAGGAAACAUGGCCAACUGCAGCAGCGUUUCCAGACUUGUCCUCAUGGCCCUCCUCGGCCUCUGGGUAGCCACCCUCCACUCAGAGACUGUGGCAGACCCCACACCCACUUUACAAGGGGACAACCAGGACACGCUGUCCGGAGAGGGGGCGUAUGAAGUCACCACCAAAGACCCCUUCCAGGAUAUGACAGAGAGUGUGUUGACCUUCGAAUACGAGGACACCACCCACUCACAGGCCGUGGACGAGGAGGAAAGUGUUCUGGGCCCAGGUGCCAUCACAGCCAUCGUCAUCGCAGUCGUCCUGGGGGCUUCAGUCCUCCUCGCCCUCAUUGUCAUUACACUCAGGAAGUUCACUGCUUCCUAGAGCCACUUCCUCCUCUUUCUUUCAAUCUCUCUCUUUCACUUCUUUGUCACUUCCAUUCAUCUAUCUUUAUUGUUUUUCCCCAUUCUCUAAAUGUUCUCCCAUUCCCUCUGUUUCCCUUAUACACACAUAUUGUGAAAGUGAAACCCUCUACAACCCUGGAUGCUAUAAUGGUAUGUGGCAGGUCCCUUUUGGCCUUGAAGAGCAACUGACAAUGAAAUACCUUCAGACUCUAGCUACUAUAAUCAUGCUGUUCUUGUUGGCCCCCAUGUCCACUAUCACGUUGUCAAUUGGAGGCUUAAGUGGGAGUUAGGAUUUGCCCCUAAGAGGACAUUAGAGACUGGCAGGUUCUUCCAGUGUGAAGUCAUAGCUUUAAUAAAAUCCCUUUUACUUUACUUGUAAUGAUCUGUGUGCUGAAAUGUUUUGUCCAGCUUUGAUUUGUUCUUGCUGAUCUUUGUAGAAGUGAUUUUUUUUUCUGACGGUUCUGUUGUGUGUUGCUGUAUCCUGUCUGUCUUUGUGUAUGAACGGGUGUGAUGAGUGUGUCAUUGUGAAGAUGAAUCCACCAUGUUUAUUACGUUGCUGAGUGCCUACUCCAUUUGGUUAAAAGUGAAGUGUUAUUGACAGUAGAAUGAAAAAUGAAAUGAUUUACCAAAUGUACAACACAGAAUUCACUUGUAUGAUCAAAUGUUAUUUUGAAUGAUCUUAUCUCAUGAGAGAAUAUUUUCACAAUGCACACAAUGUGCUACCUUUCACUGGCAAAUAGUAUUUUUUUAAUUUAAGAAACGUUUGCCAUUUUCCAUUGGAACAAACACAUUGAUAGUGACCCAGAACUAUAAUAUUUUAAUAUGAAAAUGCUGGCGUCGUCAAUAAAUAAACAUAAACAGGGUAAUUUUUGUAUUUUUUUGUAUUUUUUUUACCUGCAAAGCAAAUAUUAACCUUGCCUAUUAAACGGCAGAAUGACUGUUGUGUUUGUGUUUUUGGGGGGCAUUGAUGGGAAGCGUUGUAUAAUAUUUAGAUUUUCUCUGUUUUACUCUUGCGUUUUACCAAUCAACUAACUAAUGCUUAUGUAAAACAAAUAUUCUUUAAGGUAAUAUCACCUGUUUGAACUAUGUGUUAUAUUGUAUAAAUCACUUCCUACAACCAAAUAUUAGUCUUGUCAUUUAUUUCAAAUGUAUAUGGGUAAUUUAUUGGUGCACCAAGUUUAUCUGUAAGGCAGAAUAAAGGGCUUCAUUCAUCCAAUCACAAUACAAACAGGUGUUGUCAUAAGUUAUUGUGUUGGACUGACACAAAUACCCACUGACGAGUGGAAGUCACUCACUCACAGGUUCUGGAUGUGCUAGUCAGCAGCACGUUUGACGCUUAGUGAAACUGGAACAAAUGAGUCAUGGGAGCACAAUAAAAUGUGUAAAACUUCCAUCAUGGUUCCAGAUUAGAACUGGCUCUAUGGGUUCUGGUUUGGAAAAGACCCAAGUCAUCAGGAACAUGGGAAUAUAAUCAAUUGUAUAUGAUCAGGACACCGACAAGGGUCAAAGGUUAGAAUGGCACACCAGUUACUCCUCAAAAGGGAAAUAGUAAUGGAUUAUCAUUCACAGUCAAUCGGUGGUAUAGUUGAGCAGUGGAACAGGAGAGAUUGACUUUGUCACUGCUUGUAUGUAUGAGCAGUAUUGACAUGUUGAAUGUACCGAGCGGUCUGUUUGAAUUCCUGCCACACAGUUUCGACACCCAUCCAUACCCCACAAGAUAUGCCACCAAAGGUCUCUUCACAGUCCCCAAGUCCAGAACUGACUAUGGGAGGCGCACAGUACUACAUAGAGCCAUGACUACAUGGAACUCUAUUCCACAUCAAGUAUUUGAUGCAAGCAGUAAAAUUACAUUUAAAUAACGGAUAAAAAAUAAACAUGACUGUGAAGCAACACAAACAUAGGUACCGACACACACACACACACACGAUAGCAUACGCACUAUACACACGCACACACAGAUUUAGUACUGCAGAUAUGUGGUAGUGGUGGAGUAGGGGCCUGAGGGCGCACAGUGUGUUGUGAAAUCUGAGAAUGUAUUCUGUUUUUAAAAUUGUAUAAACUUAAUUUUGCUGGAUCCAUAAUAAAUACAACAUUCCACUAGGGGGAGUAAAAACAAAUGUAUUUCCCCGUAAAACAUUGAAGUUAUCUUGAUCAUAAUCGGGUGCUUCCUCAAAGUUGUCAUAAAAAAGUUUAUAUGGUGCAGUAUGUUCUAUAUAGCUCAUAUCACUGUAGCUUCUACAUCUGCAUGGCUCACUGUUUGGGGUUUUAGGCUGGGUUUCUGUAUAGCACUAUUUGACAUCGGCUAAUGUAAAAAAAGGUCUUCAUGAACACAUUUGAUUGAUAGUAGAAUGCUGUCCAGAAAAAUUCAACAUGAUUGGAGAAUAAUGUUGAUGAAAUAGUUCAUUUUUGACCAUCAAUGAUCUUUUCAUGAAUGAGUAUGGUCUACAGUA